rnacentral:rRNA from 1 species
GACGAACGCUGGCGGCGUGCUUAACACAUGCAAGUCGAACGGUGAAGCCCUUCGGGGUGGAUCAGUGGCGAACGGGUGAGUGACACGUGAGCAACCUGCCCCUGGCUCUGGGACAACCACUGGAAACGGUGGCUAAUACCGGAUACGACCCGCCUCGGCAUCGAGUGUGGGUGGAAAGUUUUUCGGCUGGGGAUGGGCUCGCGGCCUAUCAGCUUGUUGGUGAGGUGAAGGCUCACCAAGGCGACGACGGGUAGCCGGCCUGAGAGGGCGACCGGCCACACUGGGACUGAGACACGGCCCAGACUCCUACGGGAGGCAGCAGUGGGGAAUAUUGCACAAUGGGCGAAAGCCUGAUGCAGCGACGCCGCGUGAGGGAUGACGGCCUUCGGGUUGUAAACCUCUUUCAGCUCCGAAGAAGCGAAAGUGACGGUAGGAGCAGAAGAAGCACCGGCUAACUACGUG